AUACUUUACCUGGCGCGGGAUACCCGUGAUCAAGAAGGCGGUGCCUCCAGGACGGAGGCCUGCUACAUUGCACUCCGUAUGGGCUGACUCCUGCGACUACCCCAAAUCGGGGGGCUCGAGCGCAUAACAUUUUUGGUAGUGGGGACAACGCGUUCGCGCUGUCCUUU
rnacentral:snRNA from 1 species